rnacentral:rRNA from 1 species
GAUGAACGCUGGCGGCGUGCCUAAUACAUGCAAGUCGAGCGAACAGACGAGGAGCUUGCUCCUCUGACGUUAGCGGCGGACGGGUGAGUAACACGUGGAUAACCUACCUAUAAGACUGGGAUAACUUCGGGAAACCGGAGCUAAUACCGGAUAAUAUAUUGAACCGCAUGGUUCAAUAGUGAAAGACGGUUUUGCUGUCACUUAUAGAUGGAUCCGCGCCGCAUUAACUAGUUGGUAAGGUAACGGCUUACCAAGGCAACGAUGCGUAGCCGACCUGAGAGGGUGAUCGGCCACACUGGAACUGAGACACGGUCCAGACUCCUACGGGAGGCAGCAGUAGGGAAUCUUCCGCAAAGGGCGAAAGCCUGACGGAGCAACGCCGCGUGAGUGAUGAAGGUCUUCGGAUCGUAAAACUCUGUUAUUAGGGAAGAACAAAUGUGUAAGUAACUAUGCACGUCUUGACGGUACCUAAUCAGAAAGCCACGGCUAACUACGUG